ensembl:antisense 8030443G20Rik RIKEN cDNA 8030443G20 gene
AGAGCCUUCCAAGACAGGUGGAACAAUCCUCUUAUCUGGUCAGCUUGGCUGUCUCAUGCCCGCUGCAAGCCCUUUAUUUCUCGCCCCGACUGUUCCCAGAGCCCCGUGUCCAUCUGGUCGACCAAGGUCUACUUAGGAAGGAGCCAUUAACCAGGUUAAAGAAACUCCCCACUACAGCAUGGUAGACUGGAAUGAAUCCGAUGACUGCUUAGACUUGUAACACAAGUGAAUGAGAAACAAGUGGCUGAUGGAGACAACUCCAGUUUUUGCUAAUUGCUCCUCCUGAGGAAUUCUGCUCAGCCUGUUGUGGUGCAUCUCCUAAGCUGGCACAAGACCAGCCUGGUCCCUGGUUGAAUAAAUUAACAGUGACAAUCAGGGGAAUUGAAGACAACAUGCUUCUAGCUCUUACAGAAAAUGGGCAUGGAAUCAAAGUGCACCGGUGCCAAGAGGGCCCACAAAAACCAUCUGGUCCAAGCGCCUGAAGCCAGAGAUAGGGAGUGAUGUAACCAAGUCAAAGAUGCCAAUCAAGUUACAUGGUUGGAGCAUGGAGACUGCUCAGAUCACUGCCCGGGAGGGAGCCCGACAGGUGGACUUGGACCUGACAGCUUGGGCAGGAUUCCAAGCGACGGGAUCACACUUAUUGGAAAAGAGCUGUGGUGCAGAAUGUUGUAAAAGCACAGACCUAGGGAUGCACUCCCUGCCUUUGGAUCCCCACUCUACCAUUUGCUAAUUAGUUGACCUUAUGCAAACCAGAGCCUUGAUUCCUCAUCUUCAACUGAGGUUGACUAAAGUGUUACGAAGAUAAAUGAGUUAAUACAUGGAAAUUGCUGAACUAUGUGUCUUGUAAGAGUAACAUCUAACAAAAACCCUGAUUAAAUGGCAGACGUCCUAAAUUCCACACCU